rnacentral:rRNA from 1 species
UACAGAGGUCUCAAGCGUUGUUCGGAUUCAUUGGGCGUAAAGGGUGCGUAGGCGGCGCGGUAAGUCGGGUGUGAAAUCUCGGAGCUUAACUCGGAAACUGCAUUCGAUACUGCCGUGCUUGAGGACUGGAGAGGAGACUGGAAUUUACGGUGUAGCGGUGAAAUGCGUAGAUAUCGUAAGGAAGACCAGUGGCGAAGGCGGGUCUCUGGACAGUUCCUGACGCUGAGGCACGAAGGUCAGGGGAGCAAACGGG